rnacentral:rRNA from 1 species
CGCUGGCGGCGUGCCUAAUACAUGCAAGUCGAACGGUCUUUCUAUGGAAGCUUGCUUCCACUGAGAAGAUAGUGGCGAACGGGUGAGUAACACGUGGGUAACCUGCCCAUAAGAGGGGGGAUAACAUCCGGAAACGGGUGCUAAUACCGCAUAGUUUUCUUGAUCGCAUGAUCGGGAAAGGAAAGACGGCCUUUGUGCUGUCGCUUAUGGAUGGACCCGCGGCGUAUUAGUUAGUUGGUGAGGUAACGGCUCACCAAGACGAUGAUACGUAGCCGACCUGAGAGGUGAUCGGCCACAUUGGGACUGAGACACGGCCCAAACUCCUACGGGAGGCAGCAGUAGGGAAUCUUCCGCAAUGGACGAAAGUCUGACGGAGCAACGCCGCGUGAGUGAAAGAAGGUUUUCGGAUCGUAAAACUCUGUUGUCAGAGAAGAACAAGUUGGAGAGUAACUGCUCCAGCCUUGACGGUAUCUGACCAGAAAGCCACGGCUAACUACGUGCCAGCCGCGGC